rnacentral:rRNA from 1 species
UACGUAGGGUCCGAGCGCUGUCCGGAAUUACUGGGCGUAAAGCGUGCGCAGGCGGCUCUCCAAGCGCCACGUGAAAGCCCCGGGCUCAACCCGGGAGGGUCGUGGCGAACUGGGAGGCUUGAGGCCGGUAGAGGUGGGUGGAACUCCUGGUGGAGUGGUGAAAUGCGUAGAGAUCAGGAAGAACACCCGUGGCGAAGGCGGCCCACUGGGCCGGUACUGACGCUGAGGCACGAAGGCGUGGGGAGCGAACGGG